UCUUAUCAUAGGCUGCCCAAAAAUGCGUGUUGAAAUUUUUACCCUCGCGCGUGGCGCUCGGGCAUGCAUCGAGUCUACUCAGUUUAUUAUUAUGACCAUAUGGUUAUAUAUUUAUGAUUAUAAUAAAAUUUCAACACGCAUUUUUGGGCAGCCUAUGAUAAGA
rnacentral:miRNA from 1 species